rnacentral:rRNA from 1 species
UACGUAGGGUGCGAGCGUUAAUCGGAAUUACUGGGCGUAAAGCGUGCGCAGGCGGUUUUGUAAGCCAGAUGUGAAAUCCCCGGGCUUAACCUGGGAAUGGCAUUUGGGACUGCAAGGCUGGAGUGCGGCAGAGGAGACUGGAAUUCCUGGUGUAGCAGUGAAAUGCGUAGAUAUCAGGAGGAAUACCGAAUGGCGAAGGCAGGUCUCUGGGCUGACACUGACGCUCAUGCACGAAAGCGUGGGGA